CCUACGGGAGGCAGCAGUGAGGAAUAUUGGUCAAUGGGCGCAAGCCUGAACCAGCCAUGCCGCGUGCAGGAAGACGGUCCUAUGGAUUGUAAACUGCUUUUAUACAGGAAGAAACACCUCCACGUGUGGAGGCUUGACGGUACUGUAGGAAUAAGGAUCGGCUAACUCCGUGCCAGCAGCCGCGGUAAUACGGAGGAUCCAAGCGUUAUCCGGAAUCAUUGGGUUUAAAGGGUCCGUAGGCGGUCUUAUAAGUCAGUGGUGAAAGCCCAUCGCUCAACGAUGGAACUGCCAUUGAUACUGUAAGACUUGAAUGCUUAGGAAGUAACUAGAAUAUGUAGUGUAGCGGUGAAAUGCCUAGAUAUUACAUGGAAUACCAAUUGCGAAGGCAGGUUACUACUAAGUGAUUGACGCUGAUGGACGAAAGCGUGGGGAGCGAACAGGAUUAGAUACCCUGGUAGUCCACGCCGUAAACGAUGGAUACUAGCUGUUCGGAGCAAUCUAAGUGGCUAAGCGAAAGUGAUAAGUAUCCCACCUGGGGAGUACGCACGCAAGUGUGAAACUCAAAGGAAUUGACGG
rnacentral:rRNA from 1 species